CAGCAGGCGCGCAAAUUACCCACUCUCGGCAAGAGGAGGUAGUGACGAAAAAUAACGAGACCGUACUCUUUGAGGCCGGUUAUCGGAAUGGGUACAAUUUAAACCCGUUAACGAGGAUCUAUGAGAGGGCAAGUCUGGUGCCAGCAGCCGCGGUAAUUCCAGCUCUCAAAGUGUAUAUCGUCAUUGCUGCGGUUAAAAAGCUCGUAGUUGGAUCUGCGCCUCAGGACUUGGUCCGCCCACUGGGCGAGAACUAGGCUCCUGGGCUAGUUCUGCUGGUUUUCUCUACGUUGCCUUCAUCGGUCGCGUAGGGUGGCUAGCGAGUUUACUUUGAAAAAAUUAGAGUGCUUCACGCGAGCUUAUGUCUGAAUACUCGUGCAUGGAAUAAUAGAAUAGGAUCUCGGUUCUAUUUUGUUGGUUUUCUGAUCUGAGAUAAUGGUUAAGAGGGACGGACGGGGGCAUUCGUAUCGCUGCGUGAGAGGUGAAAUUCUUGGACCGUAGCGAGACGCCCGACUGCGAAAGCAUUUGCCAAGAAUGUCUUCAUUAAUCAAGAACGAAAGUCAGAGGUUCGAAGGCGAUCAGAUACCGCCCUAGUUCUGACCGUAAACGAUACCAACUAGCGUUCCGUCGGCGGUAAAUACGCCUUGACGGGCAGCUUCCCGGAAACGAAAGUCUUUCGGUUCCGGGGGAAGUAUGGUUGCAAAGCUGAAACUUAAAGAAAUUGACGGAAGGGCACCACCAGGAGUGGAGCCUGCGGCUUAAUUUGACUCAACACGGGAAAACUCACCUGGCCCGGACACCGUGA
rnacentral:rRNA from 1 species